CCUGAUCCAGCCAUUCCGCGUGAGUGAAGAAGGCCUUCGGGUUGUAAAGCUCUUUCGCAAGGGAAGAAAACUUAUGAUCGAAUAAAUCAUGAGGUUGACGGUACCUUGAUAAGAAGCACCGGCUAACUACGUGCCAGCAGCCGCGGUAAUACGUAGGGUGCGAGCGUUAAUCGGAAUUACUGGGCGUAAAGCGUGCGCAGGCGGUUUUGUAAGUCGGAUGUGAAAUCCCCGGGCUCAACCUGGGAACUGCGUUCGAAACUGCAAGGCUAGAGUGUGUCAGAGGGGGGUAGAAUUCCACGUGUAGCAGUGAAAUGCGUAGAGAUGUGGAGGAAUACCAAUGGCGAAGGCAGCCCCCUGGGAUAACACUGACGCUCAUGCACGAAAGCGUGGGGAGCAAACAGGAUUAGAUACCCUGGUAGUCCACGCCCUAAACGAUGUCAACUAGUUGUUGGUAGAGUAAAAUCUAUGAUGUAACGUANCUAACGCGUGAAGUUGACCGC
rnacentral:rRNA from 1 species